rnacentral:tRNA from 1 species
UCUGUAAAUAGCUUAACUGGAAGAGCCCUUGUUGCGUAAUCAAAAGAUCCGGGUUCGAUUCCCGGUCAGGA